ensembl:snoRNA SNORA50A small nucleolar RNA, H/ACA box 50A
AAGCACUGCCUUUGAACCUGGGGUGUCUUGUUUGUAGCUUCACAGGCCAAGCAGCAGUGCUAGAGCAUAAGGACUUGUUAUAACUGGGGCUCUUCAGCUCUCAACUGAACUGCUCUUUUAAAAACAAGGUACAUCU